GACAGAGGGUGCAAACGUUGUUCGGAAUUACUGGGCGUAAAGCGUGCGUAGGCGGUUCGUUAAGUCUGCUGUGAAAGCCCCGGGCUCAACCUGGGAAUGGCAGUGGAUACUGGCGAGCUAGAGUGUGGAUAGAGGAUGGUGGAAUUCCCGGUGUAGCGGUGAAAUGCGUAGAGAUCGGGAGGAACAUCGAGUGGCGAAGGCGGCCAUCGUGGAUCACA
rnacentral:rRNA from 1 species